UAGGGAAUCUUCCGCAAUGGGCGAAAGCCUGACGGAGCAACGCCGCGUGAGUGAUGAAGGUCUUCGGAUCGUAAAACUCUGUUAUUAGGGAAGAACAAAUGUGUAAGUAACUAUGCACGUCUUGACGGUACCUAAUCAGAAAGCCACGGCUAACUACGUGCCAGCAGCCGCGGUAAUACGUAGGUGGCAAGCGUUAUCCGGAAUUAUUGGGCGUAAAGCGCGCGUAGGCGGUUUUUUAAGUCUGAUGUGAAAGCCCACGGCUCAACCGUGGAGGGUCAUUGGAAACUGGAAAACUUGAGUGCAGAAGAGGAAAGUGGAAUUCCAUGUGUAGCAGUGAAAUGCGCAGAGAUAUGGAGGAACACCAGUGGCGAAGGCGACUUUCUGGUCUGUAACUGACGCUGAUGUGCGAGAGCGUGGGGAUCAAACAGG
rnacentral:rRNA from 1 species